GACGAACCGAGCGAACGUUGUUCGGAAUCACUGGGCUUAAAGGGCGCGUAGGCGGGUGCUCAAGUCCGGGGUGAAAUCCCACAGCUCAACUGUGGAACUGCCUCGGAUACUGGGCGUCUCGAGUGUGGUAGGGGGUAUGCGGAACUAUCGGUGGAGCGGUGAAAUGCGUUGAUAUCGAUAGGAACUCCGGUGGCGAAGGCGGCAUACUGGACCACCACUGACGCUGAUGCGCGAAAGCCAGGGGAGCAAACGGG
rnacentral:rRNA from 1 species